UGUAUCGACUCACUAUAGGGCGAAUUGGGCCCGACGUCGCAUGCUCCCGGCCGCCAUGGCCGCGGGAUUAGAGUUUGAUCCUGGCUCAGAACGAACGCUGGCGGCGUGCUUAACACAUGCAAGUCGAACGUGAUCCAGAGCUUGCUCUGGUGAAAGUGGCGCACGGGUGAGUAACGCGUGGAUAACCUGCCCUGGUAUCUGGGAUAACAUCUCGAAAGGGGUGCUAAUACCGGAUAAGCCCACGGGAUCUUAGGAUUCUGCGGGAAAAGGUGGCCUCUAUUUAUAAGCUACCGUAUCAGGAUGGGUCCGCGUACCAUUAGCUAGUUGGUGGGGUAAUGGCCUACCAAGGCGACGAUGGUUAGCUGGUCUGAGAGGAUGAUCAGCCACACUGGAACUGAGACACGGUCCAGACUCCUACGGGAGGCAGCAGUGGGGAAUUUUGCGCAAUGGGGGAAACCCUGACGCAGCAACGCCGCGUGAGUGAUGAAGGCCUUCGGGUCGUAAAGCUCUGUCAGAGGGGAAGAAAUGGCAAAAGCUAAUACCUUUUGUUCUUGACGGUACCCUCAAAGGAAGCACCGGCUAACUCCGUGCCAGCAGCCGCGGUAAUACGGAGGGUGCAAGCGUUGUUCGGAUUUAUUGGGCGUAAAGCGCGUGUAGGCGGUUUCUUAAGUCUGAUGUGAAAGCCCAGGGCUUAACCCUGGAAGUGCAUUGGAUACUGGGAGACUUGAAUACGGGAGAGGGUAGUGGAAUUCCUAGUGUAGGAGUGGAAAUCCCUAGAUAUUAUGAGGAACACCCGUGGGCGGAAGGCGGCUACCUGGACCGAUAUUGUCCCUGAGACACGA
rnacentral:rRNA from 1 species